rnacentral:rRNA from 1 species
CGGGACGUGGCGGGGGGCCAAAAACAUGCAAGUCGAGGCGGAUGAGGGGAGCUUGCUCCUGGAUUCAGCGGCGGACGGGUGAGUAAUGCCUAGGAAUCUGCCUGGUAGUGGGGGAUAACGUCCGGAAACGGGCGCUAAUACCGCAUACGUCCUGAGGGAAAAAGUGGGGGAUCUUCGGACCUCACGCUAUCAGAUGAGCCUAGGUCGGAUUAGCUAGUUGGUGGGGUAAAGGCCUACCAAGGCGACAAUCCGUAACUGGUCUGAGAGGAUGAUCAGUCACACUGGAACUGAAACACGGUCCAAACUCCUACGGGAGGCAGCAGUGGGGAAUAUUGGACAAUGGGCGAAAGCCUGAUCCAGCCAUGCCGCGUGUGUGAAAAAGGUCUUCGGAUUGUAAAGCACUUUAAGUUGGGAGGAAGGGCAGUAAGUUAAUACCUUGCUGUUUUGACGUUACCAACAAAAUAAGCACCGGCUAACUUCGUGCCAGCAGCCGCGGUAAUACGAAGGGUGCAAGCGUUAAUCGGAAUUACUGGGCGUAAAGCGCGCGUAGGUGGUUCAGCAAGUUGGAUGUGAAAUCCCCGGGCUCAACCUGGGAACUGCAUCCAAAACUACUGAGCUAGAGUACGGUAGAGGGUGGUGGAAUUUCCUGUGUAGCGGUGAAAUGCGUAGAUAUAGGAAGGAACACCAGUGGCGAAGGCGACCACCUGGACUGAUACUGACACUGAGGUGCGAAGCGUGGGGAGCAAACAAGGAUUAGAUACCCUGGUAGUCCACGCCGUAACGAUGUCGACUACCCGUUGGGAUCCCUUGAGAUCUUAGUGGCGCAGCUUAACGCGAUAAAUCCACCGCCUGGGGAGAUACGGGCCGCAAGGU